CCCUUGGAUGUUCUGGGCCGCACGCGCGCUACACUGACGAUGGCAACGAGUUUUUCCUUCGCCGAAAGGUGUGGGUAAUCUUUUGAAACAUCGUCGUGCUGGGGAUAGAUCAUUGCAAUUUUUGAUCUUGAACGAGGAAUUCCUAGUAAGCGCGAGUCAUCAGCUCGCGUUGAUUACGUCCCUGCCCUUUGUACACACCGCCCGUCGCUACUACCGAUUGAAUGGUUUAGUGAGGACUCCUGAUUGGCGCCGCCGCCCCGGCAACGGAGCAGCGGACUGCCGAAAAGUUGUUCAAACUUGAUCAUUUAGAGGAAGUAAAAGUCGUAACA
rnacentral:rRNA from 1 species